GACGAACGCUGGCGGCGUGCUUAACACAUGCAAGUCGAACGGUGAAGCUCCAGCUUGCUGGAUUGGAUCAGUGGCGAACGGGUGAGUAACACGUGAGCAACCUGCCCCUGACUCUGGAAUAAGCGCUGGAAACGGCGUCUAAUACUGGAUACGAGAAGGGUCCGCAUGGGCACUUUCUGGAAAGUUUUUCGGUUGGGGAUGGGCUCGCGGCCUAUCAGCUUGUUGGUGAGGUAAUGGCUCACCAAGGCGACGACGGGUAGCCGGCCUGAGAGGGCGACCGGCCACACUGGGACUGAGACACGGCCCAGACUCCUACGGGAGGCAGCAGUGGGGAAUAUUGCACAAUGGGCGAAAGCCUGAUGCAGCGACGCCGCGUGAGGGAUGACGGCCUUCGGGUUGUAAACCUCUUUCAGCAGGGAAGAAGCGAAAGUGACGGUACCUGCAGAAGAAGCACCGGCUAACUACGUG
rnacentral:rRNA from 1 species